GACGAACGCUGGCGGCGUGCCUAACACAUGCAAGUCGAACGGAGAUACGAUUUCGGUUGUAUCUUAGUGGCGAACGGGUGAGUAACGCGUGAACAACCUGACUCUAAGAGGGGGAUAACACUCGGAAACGGGUGCUAAUACCGCAUAAGACCACGACCCGGCAUCGGGAUGAGGUCAAAGGAGCAAUCCGCUGAGAGAGGGGUUCGCGUCCCAUUAGAUAGAUGGCGGGGUAACGGCCCACCAUGUCAACGAUGGGUAGCCGAGCUGAGAGGCUGAUCGGCCACACUGGGACUGAGACACGGUCCAGACUCCUACGGGAGGCAGCAGUGGGGAAUAUUGGGCAAUGGGCGCAAGCCUGACCCAGCAACGCCGCGUGAGGGAAGAAGGCUUUCGGGUUGUAAACCUCUGUCCUUGGUGACGAAACAAAUGACGGUAGCCAAGGAGGAAGCCCCGGCUAACUACGUGCCAGCCGCCGCAGUAA
rnacentral:rRNA from 1 species